rnacentral:rRNA from 1 species
CUUCGGAGGACAAAGUGACAGGUGGUGCAUGGUUGUCGUCAGCUCGUGUCGUGAGAUGUUGGGUUAAGUCCCGCAACGAGCGCAACCCUUGAACUUAGUUGCCAUCAUUCAGUUGGGCACUCUAAGUUGACUGCCGGUGACAAACCGGAGGAAGGUGGGGAUGACGUCAAAUCAUCAUGCCCCUUAUGAUUUGGGCUACACACGUGCUACAAUGGACAAUACAAAGGGCAGCGAAACCGCGAGGUCAAGCAAAUCCCAUAAAGUUGUUCUCAGUUCGGAUUGUAGUCUGCAACUCGACUACAUGAAGCUGGAAUCGCUAGUAAUCGUAGAUCAGCAUGCUACGGUGAAUACGUUCCCGGGUCUUGUACACACCGCCCGUCACACCACGAGAGUUUGUAACACCCGAAGCCGGUGGAGUAACCAUUUUGGAGCUAGCCGUCGAAGGUGGGACAAAUGAUUGGGGUGAAGUCGUAACAAGGUAGCCGUAUCGGAAGGUGCGGCUGGAUCACCUCCUUU